rnacentral:lncRNA from 1 species
CCUGCACUCCUCGGGCCAAUCUAGGUUAGUCCCGAAACUUCUUUGUUCUCUUGUCAUUUUUCUAUUCUUUCUUCUUCGUAUUCCAUUCGUUUAGCUUCUCCGAGAGUUUGCUUAUAAUUUUUUUUGAUUUUUUUGAAUUUUUUGUGGCUUCCAUUUGAUCCAAAAUAUCUUCCAGUAUCUCCUUUUUUAGUGGUUCUAGG